GGUCUGGUGGCCAUAGUGGUUAGAGCGUCCGCCUCGGAUGAGGGAGGUCGCGGGUUUAAACCCCGGCCGAGUCA